rnacentral:rRNA from 1 species
UACGGAGGGUGCAAGCGUUAAUCGGAAUUACUGGGCGUAAAGCGCACGCAGGUGGCUGAGAAAGUCGAUUGUGAAAGCCCUGGGCUUAACCUGGGAAUUGCAGUCGAAACUACUCGGCUAGAGUAUGGGAGAGGACAGUGGAAUUCCCGGUGUAGCGGUGAAAUGCGUAGAGAUCCGGAGGAACACCAGCGGCGAAGGCGGCAUCCUGGACUGGUCCUGACACUCAGGAGCGAAAGCGUGGGGAGCGAUCCGG